CAGCAGCCACGGGAAUACGUAGGGUGCAAGCGUUAAUCGGAAUUACUGGGCGUAAAGCGUGCGCAGGCGGUUCUAUAAGACAGAUGUGAAAUCCCCGGGCUCAACCUGGGAACUGCAUUUGUGACUGUAGAGCUGGAGUGCGGCAGAGGGGGAUGGAAUUCCGCGUGUAGCAGUGAAAUGCGUAGAUAUGCGGAGGAACACCGAUGGCGAAGGCAAUCCCCUGGGCCUGCACUGACGCUCAUGCACGAAAGCGUGGGGAGCAAACAGGAUUAGAUACCCCAGUAGUCCCUGUCUCUUAUAC
rnacentral:rRNA from 1 species